UUUUUGGCACAACAGAUACGCAGAGCUGGGGAAUGAGUUUGUGGUACAUACAGUGAUUAAUUAGUGACGAAAGAGAGAUGAAUGAAGCGGUAGACUCGGAUCCUGUCCCCCCGCCCCUCCACCCAAGAAAAAGCUCGCCUUUGUGCAGCGUAGGACUGGACUGGACUCAGAGAACUCUCUCUCUCUCUCUCUCUCAAACCCAAGAAAAUUAGAAAUGGAUGACCAGUAUCAUGGCCUGCUUGAUUUCCGGCAUUUCAUGGCCGGAAGAAAUCGUUUUCCCGCCGUUACACAACCAACCGGCGAGCCAUUCUUUCUCCAGAAGAAUGUGGCGCCGACACAACUCCAGUACGAGGCCAUCAUGGUUGGUACUGAGGCUUUCCCUCGUGGGCUGGUUGGGUUUAGUCACGAUUCCAUGACUAGUACUACUGUCUCUCCCACAACAGCCUCCACUGCCAGUUUAGCUGCUACACUAUCUGGUUCAGUACAGAUGGAGAGUUCUGGAUGGAUGGGAUCAUAUGAUGCUGGAAAUAGUACUAGAUGGCCAAGGCAAGAAACUCUCACCCUUCUUGAAAUCAGAUCUCGUCUUGAUUCCAAGUUCAAAGAGACUAAUCAGAAAGGACCAUUGUGGGAUGAAGUUUCUAGGCUAAUGGCUGAGGAAGGAUACCUGCAGAGAAGUGGGAAGAAAUGUAAAGAGAAAUUCGAGAACUUGUACAAGUACUAUAAGAAAACUAAGGAAGGUAAAGCUGGAAGGCAAGGUGGGAAGCAUUACAGGUUCUUCCGGCAGCUAGAAGCAAUAUAUGGAGAAGGAAGCAAGUGCAAUAAUCAUGCCUCAAUUUCAGAUCAUACCCAUCUUGCUAGGAAUAGCAGCCUGCCUUGUCAUGAUCAGAACCCAAAUAACGUAACCAACCGAGAAAUUCUUCAGAACCAAAUGCUAUGCAAGAGCCUUAGUUUCUCUAACUCGUCUGAAUUCGAGACUUCAUCCUCAGAAAAUAAUGAUGAUGAUCUUUCCGCCAUUGCAUUCAUGAUGAAUCAGUCCAAGGAGGAGAAGAAAGUGAUAAAUGAGAGACAAGGUUUCACAAGGAACAAGAGGAGCUGGAAAGCAAAGCUUGAGGAGUUUGUGGACGCACAAAUGAGGAAGAUGAUGGAUGCACAAGAGGCUUGGAUGGUCAGGAUGUUGGAGAAUAUAGAGCGUAGAGAGCAGGAGAGUUUGUCUAAAGAGGAAGAAUGGAGAAAGCAGGAGGCAAUCCAGUUUGAUCAGGAAGUACAUGAUAUCUGUACACAGAAUAGAGCGUGGAUUGAAGCUCGAGAUGCAGCAAUAAUGGAAGCUUUAAAGAAAUGCAUAGGAAAAGAACUCCAAGUAUCGCUAUCGGCUGACUUAAUGGCGGAUGUAGAAACUCAAAGUCACAAGGAAACCCAGGAUGAAAGAAGGAAGGAAAUUCCCUUUAGAACUGUAAACAAUAGCAGAUGGACUGAAAUGGAAGUUUCAAGUUUAAUACAGCUGAGAACAAGUCUGGAACUGAGAUUCCAAGAGGGUGGCAGGUAUUUGGAGGAAAGUCUUUGGGAGGAGAUAGCAGCAAGAAUGGGUUCCUUAGACUUUGACCGAAGUGCUGUCGACUGUAAAGAAAAAUGGGAAAACAUCAGCAUCUUUUAUAACAAGACGAUGGACUACUGUAACGAGAAGCGUGAAGAUCAUCAGGAUUUAAAUUGGAGAACCAGAGCUGGAGGUUAUUUUGAUCAGCAGCAACCUAGUUCAUUUCUUGACCAAGAAACUUGCAGACAAAGGCCGCCUGAGAGCAUGGGAGUACUUCAACUGAUGAACGAGUCCGGUACUGAUCUUCCAGCUUCAAGUUCUUCCAGUGUAGGGCCCGAUGUCCAUCCUCACGGCUUUUACCAUGGAGGAGAAAAAGUGUGGCAGAAAUAUGGUGUAAGAAGCAUUAAUAGCAAGGGGAAAAGGCAGCAAGUUUAGCUCAAGCAAGAAAGAACUAAUUCAGCUCUUCUCAAAAGUACACCUCGUUGUAACUUUUUCAGAAGUCUUAUAGGUAUUAAGUUGUUAAACCUUUUGGGUAAGCAAGAAGACACGAGUUUGGAGUUUCAGCUUUCUUAGUCAUUACAAAUGGUAUCAGAGCCAAUUUCAACUAGACUUGCAACCAGCCAUGUCACCUAUGAUAUUAUUUGGCCCGGCGAGGACAUCGGGAUUUAAAAUGGGAGAUUGUAAUACUCUGAAAAUGUAAUUGUCCACGAGAAUGUCGUGAGUGAGAUCUCCUAAUAUUAUUUGGGAUAUUGGAGAAUUACUUUUAAGUCUUUAUAAUGAUUUCAGGAGACUCUAAUUGUGACAUUUUUUAUGCUUUCUGGAAUAUUUGAGUAUAAACAUAUAUAUGUGUGUGUGUGGGGUUGACAUUGGAUGUGUAUAAACUGGCUAAUGUGUAUCAUAUAAUAGGAGUUUGAAAUGUUGUUUUUA